UACGGGGGGGGCAAGCGUUGUUCGGAAUUACUGGGCGUAAAGGGCGCGUAGGCGGCCAGUGCAAGUCAGUUGUGAAAUCUCCGAGCUUAACUCGGAAAGGUCAACUGAUACUGCUCGGCUAGAGUGCGGAAGGGGCAACUGGAAUUCUUGGUGUAGCGGUGAAAUGCGUAGAUAUCAAGAGGAACACCUGCGGCGAAGGCGGGUUGCUGGGCCGACACUGACGCUGAAGUGCGAAAGCUAGGGGAGCGAACGGG
rnacentral:rRNA from 1 species